AAGGGGGUGGGGGAUAGAGUAGCCCAGAGUGAGAGUUCGAUGCGUGAGUAGCCGCCACUUUGCCUGGGAGAAUUGCGGUCUCGAUUGGCCUUCUUCUGCCGUGCACUGAGUUUGCAAGGAUGGGGUUGUAGGCCAACUCUUGCUUCUGGCAAGCGUUUUGGUGCUGGGUUUUGGCGAUUAGGGUUUGCGAUGUUAGGGUUUGGAGCGGUGGGCAGAGGUAUGUGUGGGGAGAAUGGACAGGGAAUGGUUUUGUAGUGUGUGUGGCAUGGGAGUGCGAGGGAGCGCGAUGUUGGAUGAUGCCGCGGGAGCUUUGAGUUGAGGAAGGGCGAGGUAUUAUGUAUUUACUGGUGAAGUAGUUGGUAUACAUUGGGAGGGAGCUGAGGUUGUCAGGCUCCUGUGUAUGGGUCUGAGCGCGCCAGAAGUGAUGGCGGAUUUGGAGGAUGUGAAGAAGGGGGUGCCAGAGGAGGAGAGCAGCGCCCCGGAGUCGUGGGAGAUGGUGGACUUGGAGGAGAACAUGAAGAAGUUGCUGGCGUCUUCUGAAAUUGCGUCCUCUCAAGUUUCCGUGGAACCUUGUAUUACCAAUGAUGGCAAUGGUGUGACCACCGGAUUGUUGCCUUUCCGCACUGAUGCAGCGGACGCUGCCAGAGGCCCCGAUCAAGUGGACGGUUUCCUUAAGGAAGCACUGCAGAAUCCUCGGGAUCGUCUUACAAUUUUGAGGCUGGAGCAAGAGGUUGAGCGCUUCAUUCGUAAUCCCAGCUUGCAGGUACUCGAGUUUCAGCCUAUGCCAUCGUCGUAUCUUCGACUGGCUGCACAUCGCGUGGCUCAACACUAUUAUCUCCAGUCCAUGGUUGUUGAUGGAGGUUCCGCAGAGGGGAUGCGCAUUGUCGCUCGGAAGACGAGUGAAACUCGUUUUCCGAGUCUCCGACUUGUGGACAUACCUGUUGUACCUCAAGCUGGUGAUCAAGAGGAGAAGGCCGCGAUGUUACCUGUGCUACCUACAAAGGUCGCCAUCAAGCAGAGACCGGCGAAGGGAAGCCGCAGUAAUGGUCUCGGAAUAGGUGGAAAUGGCGGCAGGUUAAAUCCGUCCAAGAGCGUCGAAGAAAGAAAGGAAGAGUACAAUAAGGCACGUGCACGUAUUUUCUGUAACGAGUUGGCAGGAAAAGGGGAAGAGGACGAGCCUGAGGCGGAGAAUGGUUUCUCUUUGGCAAGUCUCAGUACUGGCUCUCCUCGACACCGUGAAUCUGUGAAGGAGGAGAGUUUUCAGAAAGAAAGGUCUAUCCCACCGAAGAGCGCUUCUGUUUCUCCUCCUAGAAGAACAUCUGUAUCUCCAACCGAUAGUUCUGUUAAAGAACAAAAAGAAAAGGACCCUUCUGGUAGGGGGAAGUUGGUGAGUUCCAACAGUCUGGGCAGUAAUGGAAACGGUGGUAGUCGAGUAGCCAUAUUUCGUGAUCGAGAGAAAGACCGGAGGGAUCCUGAUUAUGACCGGAACACUGCUAGAUAUUCGCAGCGUUUUGAUCCUGGAUUUGGUGUUAGUUUGGGACCUUAUGGGGGUCAAGCAUUGUAUGCCCCAGUGGUGAAUUAUAACACCGAGUUUCCUCAGUUAGGUGUUCCUCCUAGAGGACAGAUGCACAUGGAGCCCCCACCGCCUCAAUCUCUUGGCCCGCAACACAUUCGAGCACCCUGGGUACCCACUGUUAAUGCUAUAGGUUACCGCGCUUCUGAUUCAAUGAUGGGACCUUACAAUCCCGCCCAAAUGGGACCAAUGACCAUGUACAUGCGUGCUCCCCAGUUUGGCUAUCCUGGGCCCGCUUUGAGCUACAUGCAGCAUCCAGAUCAGUUUCAGCAAUCUCAGCAAACACAUUCGCAGCAGCAGCCUGACACAGGUGUCAACCAGGCCCGGCGCCGUUGAGCGCCGGGCGCAGCCUGCCCCUGCCACCCUCAUGUGCAGCCCCAUCCUGUGGUCAUGAUCUUUGGACUAAGGGUUGGCACAUCUGCAGAUUACAGUAAUAUCUUUAAGGUUGGCAGGGAAGGCGCAGGCAAGCACUAGGGGUAGUAGCUGCAGUUCUGCACUGGGUAGUUUUGGACAUAUAUGCUGGCACAGAGGUAACACAAUUCAUUCAGGAAUUUUCACCUUUGCCAACCACAAGAUGCUGAAGGCCAAGGAAUGUUAAUAUAGUGUAGCUGGCAAGUGUGGCAGGUUGUGGUGCCUGGAAAGCACCAACAAGCAUGUCCUCCUACUUAGAUUACCCUUAGUGCUAGGUGUUAGUAUGUAUAGGAGAGCUGAUACAUGUAAGAUGGAGGCAGUUGGAGAUACGACGGCGCUUGUUAUUAGAGAUUUGACUGGAACAGGUCUCGAAAGACUCCCAGGAAGGCAUCUCAACCUAUUGCCGGUUGCAGCAAGCAAUCUCAAGCAAGCAGUUUGUACUCUGUAGCUCAAUUCGAGGACCCCUUGUGUGCAACACUUCGCUUCUGAAGUCACGAAUUAGACUUUUGAAACAGUUCAGCGUAGGGUUUCGGCGACCCACUCUCUUGCAGUGAUGGAGACUGCCAGUUUGAGAGAGUGUAUCAUCGAAGAUUACUGCUGUCCAAGUCGCUGCGUCUCGAAGUGGCUACUUCAAAACGUGGGAAGAGGAAAGAUCCUUUUUGAAAGUGAUCGUCAGACCUGGACAGAAGUUCGACUUAAUGCGUUUUAAGGCAACGGUGUCAUAGUAAGCAGUGAAAGUAUGCACUCCAUGACUUGAAUUUCAUUUUUUAUAUUUCACCUGCCACGGCCAUCUAGAAUAUGAUUCCUAAGACUAUUUUAGUAGGUUUUCUCUUGUGGUCCGUAGGGUCAGACCUUCCGUGAACCUCGUGUGAGAUCUGUAUCCCCUAUUUUCAGAGUUCACUCUGUCAAGAAAGUGGAAAUGAUUUGUGUUUGUUGCA